rnacentral:rRNA from 1 species
UACGUAGGGGGCUAGCGUUGUCCGGAAUCAUUGGGUGUAAAGAGCGUGUAGGCGGUCCGGUAAGUCCGCUGUGAAAGUCGGGGGCUCAACCCUCGAAUGCCGGUGGAUACUGUCGGGCUAGAGUGCGGAAGAGGCGAGUGGAAUUCCUGGUGUAGCGGUGAAAUGCGCAGAUAUCAGGAGGAACACCUAUUGCGAAGGCAGCUUGCUGGGACGUAACUGACGCUGAGACGCGAAAGCGUGGGGAGCAAACAGG